UCUACGGGACGCAGCAGUCGAGAAUCAUUCACAAUGGGCGAAAGCCUGAUGGUGUGACGCCGCGUGGAGGAUGAAGGUCUUCGGAUUGUAAACUCCUGUCAUGUGAGAGUAAAGCCGGGCGUUAACUGCGUGCCGGUUUGAGAGUAUCACAAGAGGAAGAGACGGCUAACUCUGUGCCAGCAGCCGCGGUAAUA
rnacentral:rRNA from 1 species